rnacentral:rRNA from 1 species
UACGAAGGGGCUAGCGUUGCUCGGAAUUACUGGGCGUAAAGCGCACGUAGGCGGCUUCUUAAGUCGGUGGUGAAAUCCUGGAGCUCAACUCCAGAACUGCCUUCGAUACUGAGAGUCUCGAGUCCGGGAGAGGUGAGUGGAACUGCGAGUGUAGAGGUGAAAUUCGUAGAUAUUCGCAAGAACACCAGUGGCGAAGGCGGCUCACUGGCCCGGUACUGACGCUGAGGUGCGAAAGCGUGGGGAGCAAAGCAGG